rnacentral:rRNA from 1 species
GAUGAACGCUGGCGGCGUGCCUAAUACAUGCAAGUCGAGCGAACAGACGAGGAGCUUGCUCCUCUGACGUUAGCGGCGGACGGGCGAGUAACACGUGGAUAACCUACCUAUAAUACUGGGAUGACUUCGGGAAACCGGAGCUAAUACCGGAUAAUAUAUUGAACCGCAUGGUUCAAUAGUUAAACACGGUUUUGCUGUCUCUUUUAGCUGAUUCCGCGCCGCAUUAGCUAGUUGGUAAGGUAACGGCUUACCAAGGCAACGAUGCGUAGCCGACCUGAGAGGGUGAUCGGCCACACUGGAACUGAGACACGGUCCAGACUCCUACGGGAGGCAGCAGUAGGGAAUCUUCCGCAAUGGGCGAAAGCCUGACGGAGCAACGCCGCGUGAGUGAUGAAGGUCUUCGGAUCGUAAAACUCUGUUAUUAGGGAAGAAAAAAUGUGUAAGUAACUAUGCACGUCUUGACGGUACCUAAUCAGAAAGCCACGGCUAACUACGUG